GUGGGGAAUAUUGCACAAUGGGCGCAAGCCUGAUGCAGCGACGCCGCGUGGAGGAUGAAGGCUUUCGAGUUGUAAACUCCUGUUAAGUGGGAAGAAAGACCGUUGACUAAUACUCAACGGGGAUGACGGUACCACUAGAGAAAGCACCGGCAAACUUCGUGCCAGCAGCCGCGGUAAUACGAAGGGUGCAAGCGUUAUUCGGAGUUACUGGGCGUAAAGAGUAUGUAGGCGGUUUAUUAAGUUAGUUGUUAAAUACCAUGGCUUAACUGUGGAAAGGCAGCUAAUACUGAUGAGCUAGAGCGCAGAAGAGAGGAGUGGAAUUCCCGGAGUAGCGGUAAAAUGCGUAGAUCUCGGGAGGAACACCGGUUGCGAAGGCGGCUUCUUGGUCUGUGGCUGACGCUAAAGUACGAAAGCGUGGGGAGCAAACAGGAUUAGAAACCCCUGUAGUCC
rnacentral:rRNA from 1 species